rnacentral:rRNA from 1 species
UACAGAGGUCUCAAGCGUUGUUCGGAUUCAUUGGGCGUAAAGGGUGUGUAGGUGGCGCGCUAAGUCGGGUGUGAAAUCUCGGAGCUUAACUCCGAAACUGCAUUCGAUACUGCCGUGCUUGAGGACUGGAGAGGAGACUGGAAUUUACGGUGUAGCGGUGAAAUGCGUAGAUAUCGUAAGGAAGACCAGUGGCGAAGGCGGGUCUCUGGACAGUUCCUGACGCUGAGGCACGAAGGCUAGGGGAGCAAACGGG